CAGCAUCCCCACUCACUAGCAGGUUGUGGGGAGAGCUGUCACACGGGAGAACCAGCUGGGAGAAAUCGUGCAGAAAGUCCUCUUCAGAGGCCAGCAGCAGCUCGUUCCACGCAGAGAUGUCCAGCUUCCCUGAAGUACCACCAUACUCUUCAGGAAGGAUCACUGGAGCUCCUGAGCACAGAGACCUGAGAGAAGUGGGCAGGCAGAACCUGGAGUCCCAGGGCAGAGAGAAUGAUUGGAUUCAUCAUUGCAAUAAGUUACUGGGUACGAUGCCCCCGGCGGCGAGAGACCAUCGAUCCCUGUGACGCCGGCAGCACGUGGAGAGGGGGUCAUUUCUGCUUUGGAAAUCAAGGGUGACCCCUGCAGCUCCCCUGGCUGGGCUGGCUCAGCUUCCUCCCUGCCUCUUGGCAGCUGCACUCUCACCAGCAUCAUCUUCCCCAGAAGCCAGCACCCCACAGUCUAUGGAAUUUCUCACACACUCAUUAUCAGAGACUGUCUUGCAUGGAAAUUUCCUUACGAGGUAGAAACUACCUCCACAGGCAUGCUGGAAAGCUCUUGGUUUCUCCUGGGAGCUCUCUGUCUGUCUGGUGAUACUCACACAUCUGCCCAUUGUGCAUCUGAGGAGGCAUUGUGUUGGCCACAAUGACGUUUGUUCCCAGGUUCUCCUGGAUCAGGUAGCAUUAGCUCUGGAGAUUCUCAGGGGGACACUGAUCAGGAAGCUUCCUGCAGGAGCUUCAAGUACUCACCUCCCAGCAGCAUCUCCUGCAGCAGGUUGUCAAUCUUAGCCAUGCCAAAGAGCUUCACGAACUGGAUCUGCUCGAUCAUCUGCCAGGUGAUGCUCUGCAGCACAGGCAGCAGCAGCAGCAGCUCCCCGAAGCGGCCACGGGAGUCGUACUGCCGGUCGUUGAUGUAGUCCUCCAGGCUCACCUGCACCUGGUACCGCAUCCGCUUGAUCUUGGACGGGUCGCUCAGUCCUUUGGCAUCUGCAACGACCCACAGAGCAAACCAUCCAGGCUGCUUCCCUACGAGCUGCCUUUGGCCUGACUUCUCCCCUCCCUCUGAGUUUGGCCCAGAGAGGAGACCAGGCAGCAUUUCCACAACUCAGGACCAGCAUUACUCAACAUAACCCAGAUUCGUUCCCUCUCAUGGGAACCGUCACCGAGCUGGAGCAUACCUGGGUCAAAGAAGAUGAUGGCUUUCAAGCAGGCAUAUUCAUUGUCAUCUAUCUGCAGCUCCUGGAAGGGGAGGACCAGCUCGUCCAGGAUGCGGAUGGCCACGCGAUUCACCUCCACCAGCUCGGGGCAGUUCCGGGGGAUGAUGUGGUCAUUUCCUUCAGACAAGCAGCAAAGAGACCAUCAUCUGGUCAUUGGCCAGGACUUAGCAAGGAGUUCAAAACCCAGUGAUCAACCUGGGAUACAUCAACCUGAGAUCCAUCACCCCAUUGUGAACUAGGAUAAACAUAAAAGUUGUAACACAACAGAGUAGAACUUUAACUUGGAAAUGAAAUGGCUUUGCCCCACCAAGCCCUGUCCUUUGACGUUUUGGUGCAGAGGAAGAAUGAAGGGUUAGGUAUGACUUUUCCUAUAAAAAUGUUGACAGUGAUGAUUCACUCUCGGGCAGCAUUUCAAUGGCAAUGUAACAGUGUUUCCCAUCAUUAAAUGUUCCCACUGGACAUGUCUUGACUGGCUCUCAUGCCCUUUGGGCAGCUGCCUUGCGUGUAGUUUUGUUCAUUCUCACUCCCUGGCAUUUCUGUCCUUCCCCCUGCACUCCCCUGAAUGUCUGCUGCCUCUUCUCACACUGUCCUUUGAAAGCACGGAUGGCAUCAAUUGAUUAGUUUUAAUGCAGCACAGUUGUUCCUCUCAAGCCCUUUGAGACAGAUUGGGAACUGCUCAUGAUGGAGGAUGGCUGGGCAUAACAGAAGACCUAUUUCUGUCCAGAGAAGCCUGUGGAGCCUGCCGAGAGCAGGCUCUUCUCUGGGGGAAGGCAGCGUUCAGACAGUGUCAUCUUUAGGCUUUAUUUUCUUCCGUGAAAAAAUUUGCAGCCCGACAGUUGUAAGAUGAGCUCACAUGGAAAUUGGUGUCGUUUGGGGAGUUACCAACCAGGUUUAUUGCCUCUGUACCAAAUGGCACAAGGAUGCAAUGGGCUAUGUAGAACUGCCCAAGCCUCGGCUGGGCUAUUUGCUGUGUAAAUGUCAUUUGCCAUUGGAGUCCAUGUCUGAUUGUCAUAACUUUUGAGUUGUCAUUGCCUUAGGGGUUUAACAAACUGCUCACUGUUUAAACAAUUUAGCACUUGUACGUAAUAGUAAAGAGGGAAAUAUGCUCUGCAUUAACAGCACUGAACUCCCUGGGGCUUUGUGUUGUUGGGUUGAAGAUCUCAGUUUUAGGAUUUGGCGGGGGGUUGAUCAGCUGGAUAGUCUCACUUUUUCUUCAUGAUGUACAAGCUACCUGUAGAGCGACAGGACUGGAGUCUGAGCCUAGCUGAAGAGGACCCAUACUGGUUCUGUGACACUGAGAAGACUGGAAAUACCUUCCUACCUGUCACAGGACCUGUGCUGGCACUGCCAGAACUGCUAUAUAUACCCUGCCAGAAGUGCUAUCUCUUCCCUCUGGAGCCUCCCCACUCUCCACACUUGCUGUUCGAGGCUGGGAACACAUCAUGUCCUGCAUCAUCUGCUGCAGACCUUUACACCUACACAGGAGACAUCUCCUUGUAUCUCUUUGAGGCUGCCUACAAUGCUGCUGUAUGGUUUUACAGAGGAUUUCAAACCCACUGUGCUCAUCUUGGUCACAGAAUCAGCAAAUGUCGUUUUAGUAAAUUGUGUUCAAUGCAAAUGUAUUUCUGGUUAUUAACUCUGAAGUGAGAUUUUCUUUUUGCCUUAGGGGUGAACUAGUGUUUAGUUUCUACAAUUCCAUAUGAGGAGAACGGAUACAAGCAUUUCCCCAGGCAAGAAGCAGAAAGAAAGACAAGCAGAUUUGGUUUAAAUUCUUGAGCAGACCUUAGGCUGGAAAUCUGUCCUACUAAGGCUGAUUACCCUGAGUAUAUGUAUAGCACUUCAGGUUUGCAGAAUGCUGACCAAUCUAUAAUUAAUAAACAAUUGAGUGAUAGACUCAUGCAAAAUGCACACCUGAUUGUGGUCCUAGAUGGUGCUUAGUGUUAUCAUGGCUGUGCUCAUUGACUGAUCAGCUGCACAUGCAAAUGGCCUGUGCUGGCAUUGUAUGGAUGCCAUUCCAAAUCAGCUGCAGCAGGCAGGAUAACAGUGGACAAUGUUUGCUUUGAAGGUCUCAGCUUGCUUUUGGCUCCCCGUUGCCUUGCCCUGGGCAGAGUGAGGUGGGGUGAAUGAGGACUUGCCUGGUCAUCCAGGGGCAGCUCACAGAAGGCUGGGAUGUACUUGGCCCACUCCACCAGCACCAGCAGCUGCUGCUUCAUGGACUCACACACAUCAGAGAUGUUGGCAAUCUUCUUCCCUCGGAUGUCUCCGUUCAUCACAGGAACCGGCGAUGAUAUCUGGAAGGAGAGACAAAUUCCUUUGGCUUUCAGUGCCACAGAAGCGACAUAAUAGGAGAAUCCCCAGCUUGUGGGGUGUGUGUUCAUGCAGACUCCAGCAGCAAUGGUUACUUUUUUCUGUUGCACAUCCAGCCACCAAAAUAUGUGGCCCAACACAAUUAAUUUAAAUUGACAUCAACCUGGGGCUCUGUAAACAUGAAAUGCUUCAGAGCUGAGGCUGUGGAUCAUCUUGGUUAAAUGUCAGGCCUUGAAUAGACUGAAAAGCACAGGAGAAAUGUUUCCAAAGCUAAGGUCUUCCUCUCACUGACCAAAUGUGCUCAGCCAAGAUCCAGGAGGGAACAGAGGGGCUCAUGUAGCAGUCUCACCAGUAGCAAGGACUUGUCCACCGAGUGCUGCUUCACAAGCUACUUGGUCUCUCCAAAGGGCAAAGAACUCUUGCCCUUUCCACCCUGCUCUAGAGCCAGUGCUUGGCUAGACCUGCAUUGUCUGCUUUUGCUGGGAGACAUGCAGGCUCUGCUUCUCCUCUCUGAGUCAGCAUGAGCACGAGAAGUCUCUGCUGAGGGUGGCUUCCCAGCUCUGACCUUGCCCUCUGUGAGCACUAGGUCAUUAGUAUUUGCCAUUACUCCAUUUGAACUACCAACAACAGACUUUAAAAACAACAACUUUACACCUCCCCACAGCUUUUUGGCUCUUUUGGUAAAAGUGUGCUUGUGCAAAAGUGUGCUUGUGCAAAGUGUGCACACACAUCACAGUUUUUACAUUGCAAAUUCUUU